rnacentral:misc_RNA from 1 species
UAAAAAUGUUACAAUCAAGACAAUGGCUUGGUAGGUUCUAUAGGAAAGUCUGCUUUUCUUCACGCAUUCUAAGAAUUGAAUUCCAUAGAGUUUAUUUUGAUUUUCGGGUACUAGUUCUGAUAAUGGACCCAUGUAUGAAACCUUAACUCUGAAAGGAAUAAAAAGGAAUUGGGAGCUUUACCUUCCUUUCUUACACCAAAAUGCAACAAUCUCUUGGUCUGGGUCAGAUGAGCUCACUCUCAGUUGACGUUGUCACUUUCUCCCUCCUUUUACUCUUCCUAAAAAAACUCUCAUUUCUCUCUGGUUUUUCAGUAACAA